CUUAAAUUGGAUGAAAAUUCAUCGCGAGAUAGAUUAUCGAGCGCUGGAUUAACUGACUCCAACUGUAUUAUAUGCUAACUUAUUUAAUAGGCGUUCUCGUGUCCUUACUGUGAAAAAACAUUUCGUUUUAAAUCCCAAUACGAAGACCAUCCGAUUAAACACUGGAAUGAUAAAAAUUACGUGUGUGUCUUUUGCGACGAACGAUCGGCAGUUUUCCACGUAAGGACUAAACACGAACGAAAAAUGGAUUCCAAAAUAGAAAAAUUCGCAGUAUUCGUAGUCGCAGCCGCUGUAGCAGUAAUUUCUGUGAUGGUUAUCAAAGAUCAAGCGACACCAUCGAUAAUAUCAAGUAUUCUGUGUGUAGCGUCUUUGCAAACAAUAAUUUUGGUAGACGAUCAAACAGCAGUUUGUUAGAAAACGUUACGGUUUAUUUAUCGUUUCAAAUCUCAAUACGAAGACCGUGUCAUCAAACAUUCGGAUGAAAAAAAUUAUAUGUGCGUCUUUUGCGACAGUCGUUUCAAGUACACCCCUAUAACACUGUUGAUUUUUCCGUUUUAUACGAAUUCCAUGUUG